AAGUAUUUUAUUGAAAACAAGUGAUGUUUGUUUAAUGCUUUGUUUUUAAAUAUUCAUGUAUCGUUUUCAGUAACUUUUCGAGAUUCUACGUGAUCUCGUGCCCUCGACAUGUUCCAAGCAUCUUCUUGCAACAAUGGCGGCAACGCAGCGGCAAUGGCGUGUAUCGCUACCGAUUGCAGAGGACAACAAUAUGACGACAUUCAAUCACAAGUUAAGUAUAUUAUGUGUAUUUGUUGGCGUAAUUCGUAUUUGAGUAAAAUGAAGAAUUAAAAAAAACAUCUUGAGUAAAUUUGGACAAAACUAUGGAUGCAAAACUCUUAAAAAAAGUGUAUAAGUAAAACGUUUUACGUUUAAAUUGAUUGCCAGUGAUAAAAAAUGAGAAUAAUCAAAUAUAUUUUUGUUUUGUUUUCAGAAACGCCAUUGAUUACCAGGAGAAAUAGGAAAAUAUAGAAGACCAGUUUCAUCCAUAGGAAGAAAGACGCUUAUUUUACCAAUAAAAGGACUUGAGGGCAAAAUAUUUUUACAUAUUAGAAAUACUACAAAUUGCUCGAUAACAUAAGGAAGUUUCAUCAGGAGGAGGAAAUGAAUUCAAUAUAUUUUCAUAUAUAAAACAAGCUUUGAUAGUAUAUAUUCGUAAAAAAUGGAAUCACCAGUUAACCAGACGCGCAAGGCGGUCAAAGGUCAGCGUUACUAA